UAUACUAUAGCCAACAUACACCUCAGGAUUCCGAAUGGCUAGGAGACUGAGUUAUGGUAUAGUCAAACUAUAACACAUUCAAGGUGAACUGUCAAUGUACCUCAGGUCAAAGAACUAGACACACAGCUGCAGCAUCGAACUAGUCAUCGACGAGAAGGUAGAUUUUUUUAUGACUGCUCGAGAUGAUCAUGCUCAGUACUCUCAUUCUCAAUGAAUAUUUGUACUCUCGCUCCGAUGUCUCCACACCUUAUGACUCAAGACUCAUCUAUCCUAAGAAAAUGAUCGUACACCAACUUUCUAGAUCGAUCACC
rnacentral:lncRNA from 1 species